GGACUACAAGGGUUUCUAAUCCUGUUUGCUCCCCUAGCUUUCGUGCCUCAGUGUCAGGAGAUGUCCAGGGACUCGCCUUCGCCACUGGUGUUCCUCUCGAUAUCUACGCAUUUCACUGCUACACCGAGAAUUCCAGUCCCCCCUCCAUCCCUCCAGCAAGGCAGUUUCCAAUGCCAUUUCGGAGUUGAGCUCCGAGAUUUCACAUCCGACUUACCUCACCACCUACGCACCCUUUACGCCCAGUGAAUCCGAACAACGCUCGGGACCUCUGUAUUACCGCGGCUGCUGGCAC
rnacentral:rRNA from 1 species